UUUCAAUUCUCUACUGUGUCAUUUAUUAGUUUUUGUGAAUUGAGCAGACUUGAUACAGACCACGAUGUGUUGAAGAUGGCAGGAACCUAAGAAGGAAAGAAUCCGAGUCCCUGGAUCACUAUGUGUGUGAGAGUUACCUGCAAAUAUUGAAAUCCCAUGUUGGACUUUGAGUGAGAAAUAAAUAAUUAUUGUACUAGAUCGAUAUUACAAUUUGGGGUUUGCUUAUUGCUGCAACUUGCAAUACGUGCCACCUACCCCCCACUUUGAAAAAAAUUGUGAUUAAAUAUAUUUCGCUUAGGUAAUAUUGAAGAGGUUUUUAAAAAAAU
rnacentral:lncRNA from 10 species